rnacentral:rRNA from 1 species
GACGAACGCUGGCGGCGUGCUUAACACAUGCAAGUCGAACGAUGAACCAGGGCUUGCCCUGGGGAUUAGUGGCGAACGGGUGAGUAACACGUGGGCAACCUGCCCCAGACACCGGGAUAACCUCUCGAAAGAGUGGCUAAUACCGGAUAUGGCCACUUUGGGCAUCCAACGGUGGUGGAAAGGAUUCUGGUCUGGGAUGGGCCCGCGGCCUAUCAGCUUGUUGGUGGGGUAAUGGCCUACCAAGGCGACGACGGGUAGCCGGCCUGAGAGGGCGACCGGCCACACUGGGACUGAGACACGGCCCAGACUCCUACGGGAGGCAGCAGUGGGGAAUAUUGCGCAAUGGGCGAAAGCCCGACGCAGCGACGCCGCGUGAGGGACGAAGGUCUUCGGAUUGUAAACCUCUUUCAGCAGGGACGAAGCGAAAGUGACUGUACCUGCAGAAGAAGCACCGGCUAACUACGUGCCAGCAGCCGCCGUAAUAC